rnacentral:rRNA from 1 species
GACGAACGCUGGCGGCGUGCUUAACACAUGCAAGUCGAACGCGCCUGUCCUCUGGGUUUCUGGGGGGUGGGUGAGUGGCGAACGGGUGAGUAACACGUGAGUAACCUGCCCCCUUCUUCGGGAUAACGGUCUGAAAGGGCUGCUAAUACCGGGUAUUCACUGGUCUCCGCAUGGGGUCUGGUGGAAAGGUUUUUUUCUGGUGGGGGAUGGGCUCGCGGCCUAUCAGCUUGUUGGUGGGGUGAUGGCCCACCAAGGCUUUGACGGGUAGCCGGCCUGAGAGGGUGACCGGUCACAUUGGGACUGAGAUACGGCCCAGACUCCUACGGGAGGCAGCAGUGGGGAAUAUUGCACAAUGGGCGCAAGCAUGAUGCAGCGACGCCGCGUGAGGGAUGGAGGCCUUCGGGUUGUGAACCUCUUUCGCCCGUGGUCAAGCCGCGACGUGGGUCGUGGUGAGGGUAGUGGGUAAAGAAGCGCCGGCUAACUACGUG